GACACACCUGGGAGAGCAGCUGAGGCCAGCCUUUGUUUGGAGCUGAUUUGGCGUGGCCCCGGGCCCUGUCCUCGUGUUCGGUAUCUCCUCUCCAGUGAAGACCUUGACACACCAGCAUGCCCCGGUCGACCCCCAGCACUGCCGCGGGAUACGUGGCAACUUAAGGAUCAGGCAACAAAGGCAACCUGUGGCCUGCAACUUGAAGAAGACCUUCACUGUUAUACAUUUAUUAUGAUGUUAAGGUUUGAACAGAAAAUUAUGCUAUAUAAACUUUCUACAAAUAGAAAAUUAUAUAAAGUAAAAGAAACUAGAAAUAAAACUAUCUACAAUAAAAUGAUAGCACCUCAUUGUCUGUACAGUGCUGACCUGUAGUUUCAAAUGUUCAGAAAACAGUGCAGCUGAAUCUGACAUUGUCACUUUGAGUAUCGUCUUUUGUUUC